rnacentral:rRNA from 1 species
GUCCACGCCGUAAACGAUGAGUGCUAGAUGCUGUGGGUAUUGACCCCCGCGGUGUCGCAGCCAACGCGUUAAGCACUCCGCCUGGGGAGGUACGGCCGCAAGGCUAAAACUCAAGGAAUUGACGGGGGCCCGCACAAGCGGUGGAGCAUGUGGUUCAAUUCGACGCAACGCGCAGAACCUUACCUGGGUUAAAUCCACUAGAAGACUACAGAGAUGUGGUUUUGCCCUUCGGGGAGCUAGUGAGAAGGUGCUGCAUGGCUGUCGU